GAUGAAGAACGCAGCGAAAUGCGAUAAGUAAUGUGAAUUGCAGAAUUCAGUGAAUCAUCGAAUCUUUGAACGCACCUUGCGCCCUUUGGCUAUUCCGAAGGGCAUGCCUGUUUGAGUAUCGUGAACACCUCAACUCUCAUGGUUUGCCAUGAUGAGCUUGGACUUUGGGGGUUUUGCUGGCCUUUGGUCGGCUCCUCUCAAACGGAUCAGCUUUCCAGUGUUUGGUGGCGUCACGGGUGUGAUAACUAUCUACGCCUGUGGUUUUCUGCCAGAUAACCUUCAGCGAUGGAGGUUCGCUGGGGCUCAUAAAUGUCUCUCCUCAGUGAGGACAGCCCUUUGAAUGUUUGAUCUCAAAUCAGGUAGGACUACCCGCUGAACUUAAGCAUAUCAAUAAGCGGAGGA
rnacentral:misc_RNA from 1 species